rnacentral:ncRNA from 1 species
UCUUGAGGACGACCUCAAGCCACAUGUCCAUUCUUUGGGGACGACCCCA